GACGAACGUUGGCGGCGUGCUUAAUACAUGCAAGUCAACUGAAGCAGUGGUAGCAAUAUCGCUGUGGAGGUGGCGCACGGGUGAGUAACACGUAGGUAAUCUGCCUUCAGGUCUGGCAUAACUCCGGGAAACCGGGGCUAAUAGCAGAUGAUGCAGCGGCUCGACAUCGAGACAGUUGUUAAAGCUAUGGCGCCUGAAGAUGAGCCUGCGUCUGAUUAGCUAGUUGGCGGGGUAACGGCCCACCAAGGCAACGAUCAGUAGCUGGUCUGAGAGGAUGAUCAGCCACACUGGAACUGAGACACGAUCCAGACUCCUACGGGAGGCAGCAGUAAGGAAUAUUGCUCAAUGGGAGAAAUCCUGAAGUAGCAACGCCGCGUGAGGGACGAAGGGCUUUUGCUUGUAAACCUCUGUAGUGAGAGAAAAAAAUCCCAAUCUUUGGGACAUGAUGGUAUCUCAAAAGUAAGCCCCGGCUAACUACGUG
rnacentral:rRNA from 1 species